rnacentral:rRNA from 1 species
UGCAAGUCGAACGCGAAAGAAGCCUUCGGGUUUCAAGUAGAGUGGCGUCCGGGUGAGUAACACGUAGGUAAUCUACCUUCGGGUGGGGAAUAACGCAGGGAAACUUGCGCUAAUACCGCAUAAUGCAGCGGCACCACAUGGUGACAGUUGUUAAAGCGGGGGCUUUUCGGACCUCGCGCCUGAAGAGGAGCCUGCGGCAGAUUAGCUAGUUGGUAGGGUAACGGCUUACCAAGGCGACGAUCUGUAACCGGCCUGAGAGGGCGGUCGGUCACACUGACACUGACAUACGGGUCAGACUCCUACGGGAGGCAGCAGUCGGGAAUUUUGGGCAAUGGGCGAAAGCCUGACCCAGCAACGCCGCGUGAAGGAUGAAAUCCUUCGGGAUGUAAACUUCGCAAGAAUGGGAAGAAUGAGCGAGUACUAAUACUGCUCGUGAUGACGGUACCAUUUGUAAGCUCCGGCUAACUCCGUGCCAGCAGCCGCGGUAAUACGGGGGGAGCAAGCGUUGUUCGGAUUUACUGGGCGUAAAGGGCGCGUAGGCGGCCAGCGCAAGUCAGUUGUGAAAUCUCCGGGCUUAACUCGGAAAGGUCAACUGAUACUGCGCGGCUAGAGUGCAGAAGGGGCAACUGGAAUUCUCGGUGUAGCGGUGAAAUGCGUAGAUAUCGAGAGGAACACCUGCGGCGAAGGCGGGUUGCUGGGCUGACACUGACGCUGAUGCGCGAAAGCCAGGGGAGCGAACGGGAUUAGAUACCCCGGUAGUCCUGGCCUUAAACGAUGGAUGCUUGGUGUCUGGAGUUUUAUAGUCUCCGGGUGCCGUAGCUAACGCGUUAAGCAUCCCGCC